UGGUUUGUGUUCCAAAUGAUUUAUCGCCGUAGGAUGGGACUGCGGCCUAUCAGUUUGUUGGUGAGGUAAUGGCCCACCAAGACUAUUACAGGUACGGGCUCUGAGAGGAGUAGCCCGGAGAUGGGUACUGAGACACGGACCCAGGCCCUAUGGGGCGCAGCAGGCGAGAAAACUUUGCAAUGUGCGAAAGCACGACAAGGUUAAUCCGAGUGGUUUGUGCUAAACGAACCUUUUGACAGUCCUAGAAACACUGUUGAAUAAGGGGUGGGCAAGUUCUGGUGUCAGCCGCCGCGGUAAAACCAGCACCUCAAGUGGUCAGGAUGAUUAUUGGGCCUAAAGCAUCCGUAGCCGGCUCUGUAAGUUUUCGGUUAAAUCUGUACGCUCAACGUACAGGCUGCCGGGAAUACUGCAAAGCUAGGGAGUGGGAGAGGUAGACGGUACUCGGUAGGAAGGGGUAAAAUCCUUUGAUCUAUUGAUGACCACCUGUGGCGAAGGCGGUCUACCAGAACACGUCCGACGGUGAGGGAUGAAAGCUGGGGGAGCAAACCGGAUUAGAUACCC
rnacentral:rRNA from 1 species